GGCUGGGUGGCUCAGUGGUUGGAGUGUGUGUGUGUGUGUGUAGACACAGGUUGUCUGGAGGUUUUGGGUUCAAUCCCCAAUGUGGCCA